rnacentral:lncRNA from 1 species
UGUCCCAGAUUCAUGGAGCUCUCCCACAGCUUCAGGAAGUAGGACUCAGACAAUUGGCUGGCAUCUUAGUUCAUGUAUACCUAACCCAAAUUCUGAAGCACAUGAAAAAAGUAGCUCAUUUUCUCGCACAACUUCUUCACUCCCUCUGAUCUCUUUCCAAUCUCCUCUCGUCUAUAUAAUGCAUAUCAAAACACACAACAACACAUCUGUCUUAGGAUUAAUUCUAUCUUCAGAGGAUUCCAUAUUUUCUCUCAAUAUAUCUCUCAACAUUCUGAAUGGCUCGUCGACUAAGCGCAGUGGCAUUUGUUCUCCUCCUCCUUCUCGUGUGUUUGGAGGCCAGAAAGCUCUCAUGGAUGGAGAAAGAGAGCUUGAUUUUGAACCAACUUAUCAAGGGUCCUACGCCACCUUCCUCUCCUAGCGGCAGUGGCAAUGAAGUGAACUACAGCAAGAAGAAGAUCUCCGGCAUGCAUCUUGCUAGGAGUGAGAGAUUUUUGGAGGAGUCGGUUCCAAGCCCUGGAGCUGGGCAUGCUAAACUUUCUUCACAAGAAGAGAACGUUUAGUUUUUAAAUGCAUUAGCAUGCACGUGUUCUUCUUAUUCCUAUACAUAUUAUAUAUACUCUG